rnacentral:rRNA from 1 species
UACAGAGGGUGCGAGCGUUGUUCGGAAUUACUGGGCGUAAAGCGCGCGCAGGCGGCCUUUUAAGUCUCGUGGUGAAAUGCCGGGGCUCAACCCCGUGCCCGCCGGAGAUACUGGGAGGCUGGAGACGAGUAGAGGCAAGCGGAAUUCCGGGUGUAGCGGUGGAAUGCGUAGAGAUCCGGAAGAACACCGGAGGCGAAGGCGGCUUGCUGGGCUCGGUCUGACGCUGAGGCGGCGAAAGCGUGGGGGAGCGAACAGG